AGCGCCUUAUGGCUCCGUAUAGCGGGACUUUAAAAAAGGUGAUCCGGAACUGGGCAACCGUCUGUAUGCCUAUGCAGAUCAGUGGUCCACUGUGGGUUCAACGGCGUUCCGGUGCUUCCUGGAAUUCCAAGUCAGCUGACCUUGACGUAGCCAAUCAGAAGCUGUAAAUAGACUCCGUCGCUGUAGGAUUCAGAAGCCAGUCAGGCUGCGAAGGAAACAGACGGAGACAUGACGCUGCAAAACAACGAUGUGAAUGAAGGUGCCACAGUCACAAAGGACAGAUUGACCACAAAGGCUGACAAGCUGUCGGGACCAUUUAAUUACAACAACAACAAUCACAGACAAGAGGGCCCCGGAGGACUGUGGGAUUCUGUGAAGAAAGCAGCUUUUGUCAUCGGAUCUGGAAUCUUAUUCUUGGCUGCAUUCGGCAACUCACUGACAUGGUAAGCUCUCUGUACUACUUCCAACGAAUCAGUGUUCUGAGAUGAACCUGAGGAGGAGCAUCAUUACAUGUUUUUAUUUGAUGUAGGCAAGAUGUCACACAAUAGCAGCAGAACAAGAAUGGCAACAUAGGA